UACGAAGGGGGGCUAGCGUUGCUCGGAAUCACUGGGCGUAAAGCGCACGUAGGCGGAUCUUUAAGUCAGGGGUGAAAUCCUGGAGCUCAACUCCAGAACUGCCUUUGAUACUGGGGAUCUCGAGUCCGGGAGAGGUGAGUGGAACUGCGAGUGUAGAGGUGAAAUUCGUAGAUAUUCGCAAGAACACCAGUGGCGAAGGCGACUACCUGGCCUGUUCUUGACGCUGAGGAGCGAAAGCGUGGGAGCGAACAGG
rnacentral:rRNA from 1 species